GACGAACGCUGGCGGCGUGCUUAACACAUGCAAGUCGAACGAAGAUCGACGGAAGCUUGCUUCUUUCACUCUUAGUGGCGAACGUGUGAGUAACGCGUAAUCAACCUGCCCUUCAGAGGGGGACAACAGUUGGAAACGACUGCUAAUACCGCAUACGAUCUAAUCUCGGCAUCGAGGAUGGAUGAAAGGUGGCCUCUACAUGUAAGCUAUCACUGCAGUAGGGGAUUGCGUCUGAUUAGCUAGUUGGAGGGGUAACGGCCAACCAAGGCGAUGAUCAGUAGGCGGUCUGAGAGGAGGAACGGCCAAAUUGGGACUGGGACAAGGCCCAGACUUCUACGGGAGGCAGCAGUGGGGAAUCUUCCGAAAUGGACGAAAGUCUGAAGGAGCAACGCCGCGUGAGGGAUGACGGCCUUCGGGUUGGAAAGCUCUGUUAAUCGGGACGAAAGGCCUUCUUGCGAAUAGUGAGAAGGAUUGACGGUACCGGAAUAGAAAGCCACGGCUAACUACGUG
rnacentral:rRNA from 1 species